GAGUUUGAUCCUGGCUCAGAAUCAACGCUGGCGGCGCGCUUAACACAUGCAAGUCGAACGAGAAAGUCCGCAAGGAUGAGUAAAGUGGCGUACGGGUGAGUAACACGUGGGUAAUCUACCUUCUGGUGGGGAAUAACCCUGGGAAACCGGGGCUAAUACCGCAUAAGACCGAGAGGUGAAAGGAGCAAUUCGCCGGAAGAGGAGCCCGCGGCCGAUUAGCUAGUUGGCAGGGUAAAAGUCUACCAAGGCUCCGAUCGGUAGCCGGCCUGAGAGGGCACACGGCCACACUGGCACUGAAACACGGGCCAGACUCCUACGGGAGGCAGCAGUGGGGAAUCUUGCACAAUGGGGGCAACCCUGAUGCAGCGACGCCGCGUGAGUGAUGACGUUCUUCGGAAUGUAAAGCUCUUUCGGCAGGGACGAUAAUGACGGUACCUGAAGAAGAAGCUGCGGCUGACUACGUGCCAGCAGCCGCGGUAAUACGUAGGCAGCGAGCGUUGUUCGGAGUUACUGGGCGUAAAGCGUGCGUAGGCGGUGGUCCAAGUCUGGUGUGAAAUCUCCCGGCUCAACUGGAGGGUGCGCCGGAAACUGGGCCGCUGGAGUGUGGGAGAGGUAAGCGGAAUUCCUGGUGUAGCGGUGAAAUGCGUAGAUAUCAGAGGAACACCUGUGGUGUAGACAGCUUACUGGACCAUGACUGACGCUGAGGCACGAAAGCGUGGGGAGCAAACAGGAUUAGAUACCCUGGUAGUCCACGCCCUAAACGAUGCAUACUUGGUGUGGGCAGUUCAGUCUGUC
rnacentral:rRNA from 1 species